UACGGAGGGCGCAAGCGUUGUUCGGAAUCACUGGGCGUAAAGCGCGUGUAGGCGGCCAGGCAAGUCGGGUGUGAAAUCCCGGGGCUCAACCUCGGAACUGCACUCGAAACUGCUUGGCUCGAGUCCCGGAGAGGGUGGCGGAAUUCCCGGUGUAGGGGUGAUAUCCGUAGAUAUCGGGAGGAACACCAGUGGCGAAGGCGGCCACCUGGACGGUGACUGACGCUGAGACGCGAAAGCGUGGGGAGCAAAC
rnacentral:rRNA from 1 species